UACGGAGGAUGCGAGCGUUAUCCGGAUUUAUUGGGUUUAAAGGGUGCGUAGGCGGUCCGUUAAGUCAGCGGUAAAAUUGCGGGGCUCAACCCCGUCGAGCCGUUGAAACUGUCAGACUUGAGUUGGCGAGAAGUACGCGGAAUGCGCGGUGUAGCGGUGAAAUGCAUAGAUAUCGCGCAGAACUCCGAUUGCGAAGGCAGCGUACCGGCGCCACACUGACGCUGAGGCACGAAAGCGUGGGUAGCAAACAGG
rnacentral:rRNA from 1 species